rnacentral:rRNA from 1 species
UACGUAGGGUGCAAGCGUUAAUCGGAAUUACUGGGCGUAAAGCGUGCGCAGGCGGUUUUGUAAGUCUGUCGUGAAAUCCCCGGGCUCAACCUGGGAAUUGCGAUGGAGACUGCAAGGCUAGAAUCUGGCAGAGGGGGGUAGAAUUCCACGUGUAGCAGUGAAAUGCGUAGAGAUGUGGAGGAACACCGAUGGCGAAGGCAGCCCCCUGGGUCAAGAUUGACGCUACAUGCACGAAAGGCGUGGGGAGCAAACAAGG